GAUGAACGCUAGCGGGAGGCUUAACACAUGCAAGUCGAGGGGUAACAUGAGGUAGCAAUACCUUGAUGACGACCGGCGCACGGGUGAGUAACACGUAUGCAACCUACCCUGUACAGGGGGAUAGCCCGGAGAAAUUCGGAUUAAUACCCCAUAAAGAUAUUUAGAGGCAUCUUUAAAUAUUUAAAGUUUCGACGGUACGGGAUGGGCAUGCGCAACAUUAGCUAGUUGGUAGGGUAACGGCCUACCAAGGCUACGAUGUUUAGGGGACCUGAGAGGGUGGUCCCCCACACUGGUACUGAGACACGGACCAGACUCCUACGGGAGGCAGCAGUGAGGAAUAUUGGUCAAUGGGCGUAAGCCUGAACCAGCCAUCCCGCGUGAAGGAAGAAGGCGCUAUGCGUUGUAAACUUCUUUUCCGGGGGAAGAAAACCCGCUACGAGUAGCGGCUUGCCGGUACCCUGGGAAUAAGCAUCGGCUAACUCCGUGCCAGCCGCCGCAGUAACAC
rnacentral:rRNA from 1 species